rnacentral:rRNA from 1 species
AUUGAACGCUGGCGGCAGGCCUAACACAUGCAAGUCGAACGAGUGGCGGACGGGUGAGUAAUGUCUGGGAAACUGCCUGAUGGAGGGGGAUAACUACUGGAAACGGUAGCUAAUACCGCAUACCAUCAGAUGUGCCCAGAUGGGAUUAGCUAGUUGGUGGGGUAACGGCUCACCAAGGCUACGAUCCCUAGCUGGUCUGAGAGGAGGAACAGCCACACAGGAACUGAGACACGGUACAGGCUCCUACGGGGGGCAGCAGUGGGGAAUAUUGCACAAUGGGCGCAAGCCUGAUGCAGCCAUGCAGCGUGUAUGAAGAAGGCCUUCGGGUUGGAAAGUACUUGCAGCGGGGAGGCGUUACACGCAGAAGAAGGACCGGCUAAUUACGUGCCAGCAGCCGCGGUAAUUC